UACGUAGGGUGCGAGCGUUGUCCGGAAUUACUGGGCGUAAAGAGCUCGUAGGUGGUUUGUCGCGUUGUUCGUGAAAACUCACAGCUUAACUGUGGGCGUGCGGGCGAUACGGGCAGACUGGAGUACUGCAGGGGAGACUGGAAUUCCUGGUGUAGCGGUGGAAUGCGCAGAUAUCAGGAGGAACACCGGUGGCGAAGGCGGCUUUCUGGGACGGUACUGACGCUGAGACGCGAAAGCGUGGGGAGCGAACAGG
rnacentral:rRNA from 1 species